UUCCCUAGAGUGGCGCAAAUUUUGGUCGGUUGAUGUGGCCUUCCAAGUAAAACCGCUGUACAGAGGUUCAUACUCUUCGUAUGCUAAUUUUGGGCUCCUCUAGCAUUAAAUCCUCACCCUAACCAAACUCUGCCUCCUGCUCCUUUUGAAUUCUGCUGGAAGAUUUUUCCGGUUCAGCCGAAAAAUACAGUAUAGAAUCAAAAUUUUGCCAACGUAUAUGUGAUAAAUAAACAGGUAUCCACAGAAAUGGCUCCAAGAACACGGGGAUUUAUAAGUGAGGGUGCAAAGCUAUUUUAAUGGCAGAGUUAAAGGUAUCUGAAAGCAAGGACUUGACGCGCAUUGAGCGCAUAGGUGCACAUUCGCACAUAAGAGGGCUCGGCUUGGAUGACACACUCGAAGCCCACAGUGUUUCGCAGGGGAUGAUAGGUCAAAAAUCAGCUAGAAAAGCGGCAGGUGUCAUUCUCGAGAUGAUCAAGGAAGGGAAAAUCGCAGGCCGCGCGGUUCUGCUGGCCGGCUAGCCUGGCACCGGCAAAACCGCUAUUGCCAUGGGCAUGGCUAAAGCUCUAGGCGAAGAAACUCCCUUCGCAAUGAUGGACGCUAGCGAGAUAUUUUCAUUAGAGAUGAGCAAGACCGAGGCCUUGACACAGGCUUUCAGGAAAGCAAUAGGUGUCAAAAUUUAGGAAGAAACAGAGAUUAUUGAAGGAGAGGUUGUUGAGAUUCAGAUAGACCGACCAACUGUUGCAUCAAAGAUUGGGAAAUUAAUGCUGAAAACGACAGAGAUGGGACUAUGUAUGAAAUGGGAAGCAAGAUGAUUGAGGGUUUGAACAAGGAGAAGGUCUAGAGUGGAGAUGUUGUAGCAAUUGAUAAGGCUUCUGGGAAGAUCACUAAGUUGGGGCGGUCUUUUGCCAGGUCUAGGGACUAUGAUGCCAUGGGGCUGCAGACCAAGUUUGUACAAUGUCCUGAUGGGGAGCUGCAGAAGCGCAAGGAGGUGGUGCAUUCUGUUACACUGCAUGAAAUUGAUGUCAUCAAUAGCAGGUUAGCAAAAUUUCAGCUAUAAGAAGGACAAUUUCAAGAAGUACCUACUCUCAAAAUUUAGAAAUCCUAGCAAACUCUUCUCAGUUUUGAACCCUCAAUUGUAUUAUUUUUCAAUCACACUCGUUUAAGCUACUUAGGGUUUUCUCCUUUAUACAAAAAUUUGACAAGUUCUUGAUGGAAAAUUGACAAAUGAAUUUUGUUUUGUAGAAGUGGAGUCAGAUUUUCAUUGAAAUAAAAGUAGUUGUAUAAAUUUUUUCUCA